AGCGAACGCUGGCGGCAGGCCUAGCACAUGCAAGUCGAACGAAGUCUUCGGACUUAGUGGCGGACGGGUGAGUAACACGUGGGAACGUGCCCUUUGGUACGGAAUAACUCGGGGAAACUUGAGCUAAUACCGUAUGUGCCCUUCGGGGGAAAGAUUUAUCGCCAUUGGAGCGGCCCGCGUCUGAUUAGCUAGUUGGUGAGGUAAAGGCUCACCAAGGCGACGAUCAGUAGCUGGUCUGAGAGGAUGAUCAGCCACAUUGGGACUGAGACACGGCCCAAACUCCUACGGGAGGCAGCAGUGGGGAAUCUUGCGCAAUGGGCGAAAGCCUGACGCAGCCAUGCCGCGUGAAUGAUGAAGGUCUUGGGAUUGUAAAAUUCUUUCACCGGGGACGAUAAUGACGGUACCCGGAGAAGAAGCCCCGGCUAACUUCGUGCCAGCCGCCGCAGUAA
rnacentral:rRNA from 1 species